rnacentral:lncRNA from 1 species
GGCGGGAGUUUAGAGGCAAAGGGUCAAGGCCCCAUAGGAGGCCGGGUUCCGUUUGCCACCGACUCUGCUACACUGCACAGUGACGGUGCCAGAGAAGCGGACGGUGAGGGGUCCCGGGCGGGAUCUGUUUCGACUUUUAAGUGGGCGGCUGUUCGAAAUGUCCAGAUUGCGCUCCUGCGCCUGGGAAAGAAACCACGUCAGGGCUGCCCCCUCGCGGAAGAACAUAGAGGAGGAAGAGAGAAGAGACACUGUGCUUCUAAAGUCAUGGUGGAGGUAAGCUGUGUUUGUCACUUCUGGGAAAGGGCUUCAUGAUUUUCAGGAUACGCGAGCAUUUGUUAGCAGUGUUCAAGGGAAGGAAAGCACUGAGCAACGUUAAUAAUGAAUGGCUAUACCCAAGAAAAUGUUAAAUUAUAUUUAAAAUCUAAUAAUGUGUAGGGAUUUAUAAGACAUUUUGAAAGAUUUUAUCCAAGAGAUUUUUUUUUGUAUUAGUGUUUGGGAACAGGGGAAGAGAGGAGGAAACAUUUAUGGAGCAGUUUUCUUAAAGCAGCUCCAGAGCUUUCUGCUUUACACACAUUGUCUCAUCUGAUCCAGACUUUCCACUUCUCUGAAUUUUGCUCAUUGGCCAUGAACAAUAGAACAGUCUUGACAGUGAAAGUGCCUCAGUGAUUUGGAAGGGAAGGUAGAGAACAGGUUAAGGUUACUCACUCAUUUCCUCAUUGUCCCCUCCCAGUAGCCUAUUCGCUUACAGAUUUCUAACAGCCUAGAAUGCUAGUCAAAAGGAUUCUGGGAAUUGUGGUUUCUCCUAAGGCCAUUGCAACACACAUCUAAGCAGUUGAGCUCCUCUG